rnacentral:snRNA from 1 species
GAGCUCGCUCUGGCAGCACAUGUACUAAAAUUGGAAUGAUACAGAGAAGACUAGCAGGGCCCACGAACAAGGAUGGAGUGCCAAUUUGUGACGUGACCCGUAUUUUC